GACCGCGUAGCUCAGUUAGCAGAGCAUUGGGCUAGUAUUCCAAAGGUCGUAGGUUCGAUUCCCACCGUGGUCA